CCUACGGGGGGCAGCAGUGGGGAAUAUUGGGCAAUGGGCGCAAGCCUGACCCAGCAACGCCGCGUGAAGGAAGAAGGCUCUCGGGUUGUAAACUUCUCUUGUCAGGGACGAAACAAAUGACGGUACUUGACGAAUACGCCACGGCUAACUACGUGCCAGCAGCCGCGGUAAUACGUAGGUGGCAAGCGUUAUCCGGAUUUACUGGGUGUAAAGGGCGUGGAGGCGGGAGAGCAAGUCAGAUGUGAAAUUCCAGGGCUCAACCCUGGAACUGCAUUUGAAACUGUUUUUCUUGAGUGAUGGAGAGGCAGGCGGAAUUCCGUGUGUAGCGGUGAAAUGCGUAGAUAUACGGAGGAACACCAGUGGCGAAGGCGGCCUGCUGGACAUUAACUGACGCUGAGGCGCGAAAGCGUGGGGAGCAAACAGGAUUAGAUACCCUUGUAGUC
rnacentral:rRNA from 1 species